AGAGGGUCGGGAGGCCGGGGGCGGCCCCGCCACAGCCCGGCCCGAGCGGGGUUAGCCUCGGGGCACCGCCGCCUCCCCCGACGGGGCGGGCCGGCUGCGGCCGGGCUGGGGGGCGGCGAGCCGGGAGGCUCCGUGGCGUUGGGAAAAAGAGGGGGGGGGGCGAGCAGACGGGGCGGCCCCCGGGUGUGGGGAAGCGGCGGCCGUGGCGAAUGGCUCUGCCCCCGGGGGGGGUGACCCCUGCCCCGGCCCCACCGCCCGGGCUUUGUCCCCGCCGGCCGCCCCGUCCCUCCUCCCGCCCUUCCCCGCCCUCCGCCGGCUCUGCCUCAACUUUAGAGGCAGGUCCCGGAGGCUCCGGGAGUGGGACCGGCACCGGGCGGGGGCUGGCAGCCUCCUCCCCACCCCGGCAGCACGGAAAGGACGCGGACACCCGGAGCCGACGGCGACAGAGGAGAAAUCCCCACAUCGCCUCGAUCAGCGUGGUUUUGGCAGCACCCACCAAAAAGGAUGGGGACAGGGACAAGGCGAAGCCAUACCAGCGUAGGGGAGCAGCCGGGGCAGCGGGGAGACGACCACUGCGCAGAACCCUGGCCCUGGAAAUCAAAGGAAAGAGGAGCUGCACCAGGACCUGGUGUUAGGACGGAGCUUUCCAGCCUGGAGGAGGCUGCUCCUGCCGUGGGUUUGCAGCGGUGAAGUUGUGCCUGGCUCUCGGGGCUGGGCUGGUGUGGUGGCAUCCCUCCUCCACAAGCACGAUGCGCGGAGCUGAGCAUGGGAAGUUAGCUGCGCUCCCCCAAGGAUGCUCAAGACCCCAUGGUCCCUUGUGGAUGCGGAAGGGGGCUCUGCCAGCCGCACCCCAUGGGCAGGGCGCCAGGACCCCCACCGGCGACUCGUGGGGACGAGGACACGGGUGAAGACGUGCCACCGCGCUCCCCGGGGACAGCGUGAGGGUCAGCCUCUUUGCAAGCCACCCGUCGCGAAGCACAGCUCUCGGUGAGGUGAGUGGACACCGUGGGAUGCGGAUGGCCAAGAAAGGUUGGAGAAGAGCCGAGGCUUGGUUUGCAGCGUGGUCAGGAUCCGUGCAGACGCCCUUCCCGUCCUGUCCCCAGGGUAAGGGCUUGCUCCGUCCCCGUGGCUGGAGCCAGGAGUGCCCAGGAGGGUCCCAGGCCACCGAGCCCGAGGCAUCAGGGAAUGAGGUCUGCAGCUCAACGAGGUGAAAAGGAGAAAGAAACACAAGACCCAAGCAUAUUAAAGGUGUUCCAAACCUA